AUUGAACGCUGGCGGCAGGCCUAACACAUGCAAGUCGAACGAGUGGCGGACGGGUGAGUAAUGUCUGGGAAACUGCCUGAUGGAGGGGGCUCACUACUGGAAACGGUAGCUAAUACCGCAUACCAUCAGAUGUGCCCAGAUGGGAUUAGCUAGUUGGUGGGGUAACGGCUCACCAAGGCGACGCUCCCUAGCUGGUCUGCGAGGAUGACCAGCCACACUGGAACUGAGACACGGUCCAGACGCCUACGGGAGGCAGCAGUGGGGAAUAGGGCACAAUGGGCGCAAGCCGGAUGCAGCCAUGCCGCGUGUAGGAAGAAGGCCUUCGGGUUGUAAAGUACUUUCAGCGGGGAGGCGUUACCCGCAGAAGAAGCACCGGCUAACUCCGUGCCAGCAGCCGCGGUAAUAC
rnacentral:rRNA from 1 species